rnacentral:rRNA from 1 species
ACGCUCGACACCUACGGGAGGUAGCAGUGGGGAAUAUUGCACAAUGGGGGGAACCCUGAUGCAGCGACGCCGCGUGAGUGAAGAAGUACUUCGGUAUGUAAAGCUCUAUCAGCAGGGAAGAAAAUGACGGUACCUGACUAAGAAGCCCCGGCUAACUACGUGCCAGCAGCCGUGGUAAUCUGAGCGGGCUGGCAAGGC